ACAUUAAACUUUCUGAACUAAAAUAUAAUUUAAAUCUAUAUAUCAUAGAACUAAAAUAAAUAGACUGAAGCAGGAACUUUAUUCAUCUCAGUGGCUUAAACUUUCACCUGGUUACAGCUAAAUACAGGUAUUUUUUAAGGUAUAUGUGAAUGAUACAUAAUUAUGCUUCUGUAGCAACAGUUUAUUUAAUGCAUAUAGUUCUUGCAGUUUUCUAUUAUUCAUUUCUUGUAAUUAGUUCUACAAUCACUUUGGCUUACAAGAAGUCUAAACAUUAUCUUAUAAUUUUACUUUGCAGAUGCAAGAGUGUACAUAUUUAGUUAUUAGAAGCACUGUCUUCAACAUGUAUGAAUGAAAUGAUGUAAUCAGAGAUAUUUGAUGGCUUUAGUGACUAUGCUACUGGAUGAAAUGAGAUCACAGACAGAGACCCCAUCAAACACUAAACUAAAUGGCUGGAAUGAGGUUCCUGACCCUGGUGAUGGUUUUAGCAAAGCUAUAAGAGACAUUCUAGUGCCACCUAUAUUGAGCCAACAUAACUCCAAAAAUGAUUUUGUUGUAUUCAUAACUUUCUAUUAAAUCAUUUUUAUAUUUAAUA
rnacentral:lncRNA from 1 species